GUUCCUGAUCUUCUGCUGAGGAAGCAAAGACACAACUGAGUGAAAUCAUGCUGAAGUUAGCGCUUGUGCUUGGAUGCCUCCUGAGUCUCACUCUGGCUCAACCUCUGGAGGAGCAUCAGAGAGUUGCUCGCUCAAAGUCAAACUCCAACUCAAACGAGGCCACGACUACAACAACCACCGCGGCAUCUUCAGCCACUCUGAACCAAAUCAUUGCCCUCCUCUUACAACGGCUCAUCGCUGGAUGAUAAAGUCUGGAAUG